UACAGAGGGUGCAAGCGUUGUUCGGAAUUAUUGGGCGUAAAGCGCGUGUAGGCGGCUUGUCAAGUCAGAUGUGAAAUCCCUCGGCUUAACCGAGGACGUGCGCCUGAAACUGGCGAGCUUGAGUACCGGAGAGGAUGGCGGAAUUCUGCAAGUAGAGGUGAAAUUCGUAGAUAUUGGGAAGAACACCGGUGGCGAAGGCGGCGCUCUGGACCGAGACUGACGCUGAGGCGCGAAAGCGUGGGGAGCAAACAGG
rnacentral:rRNA from 1 species